rnacentral:rRNA from 1 species
AGAGUUUGAUCCUGGCUCAGGAUGAACGCUAGCGACAGGCUUAACACAUGCAAGUCGAGGGGCAGCGGGGGUGAUGGCUUGCCAUCACCUGCCGGCGACCGGCGCACGGGUGAGUAACACGUAUGCAACCUGCCCGCCACAGGGGGAUAAGCGGAAGAAAUUCCGUCUAAUACCGCGUGACGCGGCGUCGGGGCAUCCCGGUGCCGCCAAAGGGAUUACCGGUGGCGGAUGGGCAUGCGGCGCAUUAGCUAGUCGGCGGGGUAACGGCCCACCGAGGCGACGAUGCGUAGGGGAUCUGAGAGGAAGGUCCCCCACACUGGUACUGAGACACGGACCAGACUCCUACGGGAGGCAGCAGUGAGGAAUAUUGGUCAAUGGGCGGGAGCCUGAACCAGCCAAGUCGCGUGAGGGAUGACGGUCCUACGGAUUGUAAACCUCUUUUGCCGGGGAGCAAGCGUGCGUUCGUGAACGCGCGUCGAGAGUACCCGGAGAAAAAGCAUCGGCUAACUCCGUGCCAGCAGCCGCGGUAAUACGGAGGAUGCGAGCGUUAUCCGGAUUUAUUGGGUUUAAAGGGUGCGUAGGCGGGAUGCCAAGUCAGCGGUAAAAAUGCGGUGCUCAACGCCGUCGAGCCGUUGAAACUGGCGUUCUUGAGUGGGCGAGAAGUAUGCGGAAUGCGUGGUGUAGCGGUGAAAUGCAUAGAUAUCACGCAGAACUCCGAUUGCGAAGGCAGCAUACCGGCGCCCUACUGACGCUGAGGCACGAAAGCGUGGGUAUCGAACAGGAUUAGAUACCCUGGUAGUCCACGCAGUAAACGAUGAAUGCUAACUGUCCGGUGCGAGUGAGCGCUGGGCGGUACAGCGAAAGCGUUAAGCAUUCCACCUGGGGAGUACGCCGGCAACGGUGAAACUCAAAGGAAUUGACGGGGGCCCGCACAAGCGGAGGAACAUGUGGUUUAAUUCGAUGAUACGCGAGGAACCUUACCCGGGCUCAAACGCAGGCUGACGGGUCCCGAAAGGGGCCUUUCUUCGGACAUUCUGCGAGGUGCUGCAUGGUUGUCGUCAGCUCGUGCCGUGAGGUGUCGGCUUAAGUGCCAUAACGAGCGCAACCCCUGUCCACAGUUGCCAGCAGGUAAAGCUGGGGACUCUGUGGAGACUGCCGGCGCAAGCUGCGAGGAAGGCGGGGAUGACGUCAAAUCAGCACGGCCCUUACGUCCGGGGCGACACACGUGUUACAAUGGCAGGUACAGCGGGAUGCCACGGGGCGACCCGGCGCUGAACCCGAAAACCUGUCUCAGUUCGGAUUGGAGUCUGCAACCCGACUCCAUGAAGCUGGAUUCGCUAGUAAUCGCGCAUCAGCCACGGCGCGGUGAAUACGUUCCCGGGCCUUGCACACACCGCCCGUCA